rnacentral:lncRNA from 1 species
ACAUAGAACUUUGUAACAAACAAUGGAACUCGAUUGUAUUUUGCGAGUUCCAAGUCUCCAUAGUUGAGUGAUCACUCUUUGCGAGCUUUAUUUGAACUGGGGACCUUUUCAUCAUCAAUGGAGUCUCGGUGGAGGUUAUGACUGAAUCAGUAUGUGCAGGCGCUGGGUCGGUGCUGGCUGGAAGUCCUUCAAUAACUGGAACAUCAUCAGAUGGCCGUUCGUGUGAUCCGAACAUUGCGUUUCACCACUGGAUUUGGAACCAUAGAAAGUAAUUACAGCUCCAGCCAUCAUAAGCAACUCCACAGUUACUAUAACUUUUCAAAUGUGUAGCUUAGAUAAAUGAGCAAAUGCAGAAAGCCAGCAACAAAAAAUCUCUUACUUUCAAAUAAGAGACGUUUUGAUAAGAGUUAAUUGUGUGCAGCAUGAAAAAGGAGAGACAACGCAAACAACACAUGUAUUUGGUCAUGUUAUGAAAGUACACAGGAGCACAUAGCUAAG